rnacentral:rRNA from 1 species
AGCGAACGCUGGCGGCAGGCCUAACACAUGCAAGUCGAACGAACUCUUCGGAGUUAGUGGCGGACGGGUGAGUAACACGUGGGAACGUGCCUUUAGGUUCGGAAUAACUCAGGGAAACUUGUGCUAAUACCGAAUGUGCCCUUCGGGGGAAAGAUUUAUCGCCUUUAGAGCGGCCCGCGUCUGGUUAGCUAGUUGGUGAGGUAACGGCUCACCAAGGCGACGAGCAGUAGCCGGUCUGAGAGGAUGGCCAGCCACACUGGGACUGAGACACGGCCCAGACUCCUACGGGAGGCAGCAGUGGGGAAUCUUGCGCAAUGGGCGAAAGCCUGACGCAGCCAUGCCGCGUGAAUGAUGAAGGUCUUAGGAUUGUAAAAUUCUUUCACCGGGGACGAUAAUGACGGUACCCGGAGAAGAAGCCCCGGCUAACUUCGUGCCAGCCGCCGCCGUAG